ensembl:snoRNA Gm25668 small nucleolar RNA SNORA17
AAAGCCUAGAGGUGUUGCAGGUGUGGCUGCUGUGUCCCAUGUGUGUCAGUAGGUGGCAGAGAGGACAGGGCCAUGUCUGUGUUCAGUGUUCUGACCUGUGGACAUCUGAAUGAUUAGAAGCUUAAUACU